GCUGCCACAUCUACCCAGGGUUGGGUACCGAAACGCAGUGCCAGUAGGGAACUGGUUCCAACGUAAAACGGUAGUAACGAGAUCGACUAAGAACGAAAAUUUCAGAAGCAUUGGUGCUCGGGACGCUACGUUAGCGUUAGCACGCAGCUGGAUUAAACACAAUGGUUCAAAUGCUGACAGCUUACAUUACGCGGUGUAAAGUGUGACUG